rnacentral:lncRNA from 1 species
GAUUUUUAUCUAAGAUCUAGCUUAUUUGCUUUGAAUUAUUUUAGAACGAACAACGCCUGUAUCUGGUUCAUCUCAUUUAACAAGAAAUUUGAAGGAAUCUACACCAGAAUUUAAAAAGUCCUUCGAAGGUAAGAGGACCCCAUACACAAACACCACUUUAUUUUAUCAUAAAAUUAUUUGGUGUGUUCACGUUUCUCAAACAUCUGAUAUUCUUCUAUACAGGUAAUGAGUUGUUUAUUUAGUAGAACGUUAUGUAUUACAUGAAUACUGUAAAUGGAACUUACCUGUAUAAUUGAAUAACAAAAAAACAAAAAAAUCCUGCUCAAAUGAACUGUUGAAUAGUAAAAUAAUUGUCCCAAAUUAAAAAAGUCAAAAUUAAAAAGUAUAUAAUAUAGCAAUUGAACAAAGAGCAUUAAAAGUAUACAAAUACCUGAAUCAAUUUUAUGAUAAACAAUAUAAGUCCUUAAAGACAAAUACUCAAGAAAAUCUUAAAAGUAUGCUCAGCAAUUGUUUAAACUUGACAGAAAAAUUAUAGAAUAAUACAACAAGUUACGCACAAUAAACUUUGUAUCAGAUACAAAAAACAUGUAUUUUUAAAUAUAUCAAGUCAUGUAAUUAAGGUGGUAUGGGUGUCUUUCGCCAUCUUUGAUUGUAAAGGGCAGAGAAAAAUAAGGACCGGAUUUUUAAUCAAAUAAGCAAAAUUUAAUGCAGGAAUGCAGACAACGAAUGUCAACAUACAUUUAAAAGAAUUAAUUUAUAUCUUCUCGUAUUUCAUGUAUUUUAUUUUACAUUUCUAUCAUUAAGUUUAGCUUUUAAUCACAUUAUGAUAUUUUUUCUAUAUCAUACUAUUAGUUUAUUGAUAUUGUUUAAAGUUUGAACGGGAAUAUUUUUAGUCCGAACCAUAUUCGGAUUCUUAUCUAAGAUCUAGCUUAUUUGCUUACAAUUAUUUUAGAACGAACAACGCCUGUAUCUGGUUCAUCUCAUUUAACAAGAAAUUUGAAGGAAUCUACACCAGAAUUUAAAAAGUCCUUCGAAGGUAAGAGGA